rnacentral:lncRNA from 1 species
CGAUCCUCUCAUCUCAGCCUCUUGAGUAGCUGGAACCACAGAUUGUUCAUUUGGUCGAAGUGUUUAACCCUCCCAGAUAGAUGAGAACCAUCCCUUGUCAAGGACAUGAGUGACUAUGAAGGCUGGCUGCAAACUCAAAAAAGGACUGAGUCAGAAGGCUCUGAGCUGCACGCCAGGGGGUUCACGAAGACUAAGAUAUAGAUCUGAUCUCAUGGAACUCAAUUUCUCUUAGAGGAAGCUGGCUGGACAAGAACUAAUUACAAUUUAGUUAAAUUAAAUUACUUACAAUUUAAUAAGUAUUAUGAUAAUGGCAUACACCAAGAUUUUGGAGAGCAGAGAAAAGAAUAGUUCAUUAUUGUUGUCCAGCAGGACUGUGAGAGUUGUCACAGAGUAGGUGACACCUGAGCUGAGUGUUGAAGGUUGGACAAGAUUUUCCCUUGUUAGGAGAUAACAUCAACAGGGAAUUGCAGACUUCAGACAGACCACAAUUUCCUUACUAUUCAAAAAGAGCCCCUUGAAUCUGUGUUCCAUGAUGCAAGAACAUGAGGGCAUAUGUUAAUACUGAUGCAGGAGGCUCAUUAAAUUCUAAUAUUGAAUAAAACUGAGACUUACAUAUGGGUAUGAUGCUGAUAUGGAGAAGGAAAAGAUAAACAGUAUAUGUUGAUUGCUACUAUUUGCCAAGUGCUUAAUAUAACUGAUCUCAAUUAAUCCAAACAGUCAGUUUAAGUGGGUAUUAGUACCUAUUCAUUUGUAAAGAUAAGAAAAAUGUUCAAAGUCACUCAGUAGUAGCAACCAAUAUUUAGACUUGGUCUUUCUGACUACAAAAAUCAAUGCAAUUUUCAUUGUCUAGUUUCCUCUAUGUGUC